AAUUAGGUUCUACAUUUUUAAAGAUAAUAGAACAUGGCCGAAAGGGAAGCAAAACUUGUUUUGGAAGGUUAUUUAACGUAAAAAGAGUAUGUAUGGCAGAGGGUCUUUUACAGCCAGUGGGGGAAGAAAGGGAUGUUGGUGUGUGGAGGAUGGGGUGGUGAGGGAUGAACAAAACAGAAACUCCGAAUGUACAAAAAACACCUGUUUUUUUUUUUAAAGCCUGUCGUGCAUCUAUUACACUUCCUCCCUUAAAAACGUAAGGGUGUUUUAUUAUUAUUAAUAUUAUUAUUCCUCUUGAGCCCGUCCUUUCUAAGAACGCGGCGCAAGGAUUCAGGCGGUUUCCUUUCCUGGCUGCGAGGGAUCUCCCUGAGCAGAGCUCUCCGGGUUCCCCAGCUCGCGGGGUGCGGCGAAGGGCAGGUGGAUGCUGGCCAGGUGUUCUCAGGCUUAACUGAAGAAUUAAAAUGAAAUGUGUUUGAAUUGGGAAAGAUGAAGGCUGGAUGAUGAAAUCCCAAAGUACCCUUUCUGGACAACUUUUAACGAGGGCCUUUCUUGCUUGAGAAGGCUGGACUAGAGGACCUCUUCUACAGUCUUGUCACUGGAAAGUCUGCUGACACCUAAUCAAGAGAAUCUAUCUAGAAGAAGUGCUUCAAAAAAUGUGGAAUAAACUGUAUGGAAGAAGUUGGUCAUUAUAGUAUUAUCUAUAAUAGAAAAAAAUGCAAAAAAUAAAUAAAUAAAUGUUCUCCAAGUAUACAGGAAUUGUUUUGUCAAUUGUGGCGUAUUUCCUCAACAGAACUUUCCAAAGCCCUUAAAAAUGAAGGCAAUAAUGAUCUACCAAUAUCAGAAAAUAAAAUGAUUAUGUUCAUUGAAGUUAAAAAAAAAUCAGAGCACAAACUUGCCCAACUGGAUUGUUACAGCCUUUAAUUAAUCAAUUAAUUUAGUUAUUCAACAAAUAUUUAUUGGGGAUUAGAACAUUACUGAGGCAUAUACCAUAUAUAUGAUUAAAAAAAAAAUCCUAGAAAGCAUUUAUACUGAU